rnacentral:ncRNA from 1 species
GGCCAAGUUUUUAAGGGCGCACGGUGGAUGCCUUGGCACCAGGAACCGAUGAAGGACGUGGGAGGCCACGAUAGUCCCCGGGGAGCUGUCAACCAAGCUUUGAUCCGGGGGUUUCCGAAUGGGGAAACCCGGCAGUCGUCAUGGGCUGUCACCCGCUGCUGAACACAUAGGCAGUGUGGAGGGAACGAGGGGAAGUGAAACAUCUCAGUACCCUCAGGAAGAGAAAACAACCGUGAUUCCGGGAGUAGUGGCGAGCGAAACUGGAUGAGGCCAAACCGUAUGCGUGUGAUACCCGGCAGGGGUUGCGCAUGCGGGGUUGUGGGAGUUCUCUUGAUCAAUCUGCCGAUUGGUCGGCAAGUCAGAAACCGUUGAUGUAGGCGAAGGACAUGCGAAAGGUCCGGCGUAGAGGGUAAGACCCCCGUAGCUGAAACAUCAACGGCUUGCUUGAGAACCACCCAAGUAGCACGGGGCCCGAGAAAUCCCGUGUGAAUCUGGCGGGACCACCCGCUAAGCCUAAAUAUUCCCUGGUGACCGAUAGCGGAUAGUACCGUGAGGGAAUGGUGAAAAGUACCGCGGGAGCGGAGUGAAAUAGUACCUGAAACCGUGUGCCUACAAGCCGUGGGAGCGUCGCGCAUCGAGCUUGCUCGGUGCGUCGUGACUGCGUGCCUUUUGAAGAAUGAGCCUGCGAGUUAGCGGUGUGUAGCGAGGUUAACCCGUGUGGGGAAGCCGUAGCGAAAGCGAGUCCGAACAGGGCGUUUGAGUUGCACGCUCUAGACCCGAAGCGGAGUGAUCUAGCCAUGGGCAGGUUGAAGCGGAGGUAAGACUUCGUGGAGGACCGAACCCACCAGGGUUGAAAACCUGGGGGAUGACCUGUGGUUAGGGGUGAAAGGCCAAUCAAACUCCGUGAUAGCUGGUUCUCCCCGAAAUGCAUUUAGGUGCAGCGUCGUGUGUUUCUUGCCGGAGGUAGAGCACUGGAUAGGCGAUGGGCCCUACCGGGUUACUGACCUUAGCCAAACUCCGAAUGCCGGUAAGUGAGAGCGCGGCAGUGAGACUGUGGGGGAUAAGCUCCAUGGUCGAGAGGGAAACAGCCCAGAGCAUCGACUAAGGCCCCUAAGCGUACGCUAAGUGGGAAAGGAUGUGGAGUCGCAGAGACAACCAGGAGGUUGGCUUAGAAGCAGCCACCCUUGAAAGAGUGCGUAAUAGCUCACUGGUCAAGUGAUUCCGCGCCGACAAUGUAGCGGGGCUCAAGCGUACCGCCGAAGUCGUGUCAUUCCAGCACAUACCCCCAACGGGGGCUGGGAUGGGUAGGGGAGCGUCGUGUGCCGGGUGAAGCAGCCGCGGAAGCGAGUUGUGGACGGUUCACGAGUGAGAAUGCAGGCAUGAGUAGCGAUACACACGUGAGAAACGUGUGCGCCGAUUGACUAAGGGUUCCUGGGUCAAGCUGAUCUGCCCAGGGUAAGUCGGGACCUAAGGCGAGGCCGACAGGCGUAGUCGAUGGACAACCGGUUGAUAUUCCGGUACCCGCUUUGAAACGCCCAGUACUGAAUCAGGCGAUGCUAAGUCCGUGAAGCCGGCCCGAUCUCUUCGGAGUUGAGGGUAGUGGUGGAGCCGAUGAACCAGACUUGUAGUAGGUAAGCGAUGGGGUGACGCAGGAAGGUAGUCCAGCCCGGGCGGUGGUUGUCCCGGGGUAAGGGUGUAGGACGCACGGUAGGCAAAUCCGUCGUGCACAUAGUCUGAGACCUGAUGCCGAGCCGAUUGUGGUGAAGUGGAUGAUCCUAUGCUGUCGAGAAAAGCCUCUAGCGAGUUUCAUGGCGGCCCGUACCCUAAACCGACUCAGGUGGUCAGGUAGAGAAUACCGAGGCGUUCGGGUGAACUAUGGUUAAGGAACUCGGCAAAAUGCCCCCGUAACUUCGGGAGAAGGGGGGCCAUCACUGGUGAU